rnacentral:rRNA from 1 species
UAAACUAGGAUUAGAUACCCUAUUAUUUUAAAUGUUAAUUCUUAUACUAAAUUAUUAGUAGAUAUGUUCUUAAAAAUUAAAAAAUUUGGCGGUAUUUUAGUCUUUUCCGAGGAACCUGUCCUAUAAUUGAUAAUCCACGAUUAUAUAUAUUUUAUUUAUUAAUUUACAUAUCAUCGUAGUUUGAAUAUUUUAAUAGAAAAAUAAUAUUCAGGAUUUUUAAUUAAAAAUUAAAUCAGAUCAAGGUGUAGUUUAUAAUAAAAUAGAGAUGGGUUACAUUAAAUUUAUUUUGGGAUUAAUAUUUUUUAAAAGUAUAUGAAUUUGGAUUUGAAAGUAAUUUUUUGGAUUUACUUAAAAUGAUUAAAGCUCUAAAAUAUGUACACAUCGCCCGUCGCUCUUAA